GAUGAACGCUGGCGGCGUGCCUAAUACAUGCAAGUCGAGCGAACGGACGAGAAGCUUGCUUCUCUGAUGUUAGCGGCGGACGGGUGAGUAACACGUGGAUAACCUACCUAUAAGACUGGGAUAACUUCGGGAAACCGGAGCUAAUACCGGAUAAUAUUUUGAACCGCAUGGUUCAAAAGUGAAAGGCGGUCUUGCUGUCACUUAUAGAUGGAUCCGCGCUGCAUUAGCUAGUUGGUAAGGUAACGGCUUACCAAGGCAACGAUGCAUAGCCGACCUGAGAGGGUGAUCGCCCACACUGGAGCUGAGACGCGGUCCAGACUCCUACGGGAGGCAGCAGUAGGGAAUCUUCCGCAAUGGGCGAAAGCCUGACGGAGCAACGCCGCGUGAGUGAUGAAGGUCUUCGGAUCGUAAAGCUCUGUUAUUAGGGAAGAACAUAUGUGUAAGUAACUGUGCACAUCUUGACGGUACCUAAUCAGAAAGCCACGGCUAACUACGUG
rnacentral:rRNA from 1 species